GUAAAAUGAUGUAAUUUUAAGACUGGUUUACAUAUUGCUUUGAAAAACUACGGAUCAGUGGCUUUGAUGUUAUUGAAUCAGCCUAAAAUCUUGCAUGCACAUGUUUACAAUUGCCUACAGUUACCGAGGUUAUGACUGAUGGAACAACUUGUUUUACAUGCUGUCCGGUGAGAUUGUGUACCAUGUUGCUGCAGUAGGCAUAUUGUACAGUAGGGAGAAAAAUACUCAACGAUUUUGUCUCGAACAUACAGACGAUAUACUCUGUCUCUCUCUAUACAUCCUCUCAAAGAUCUUAUAGCUACUGGACAGUUGGGAGUGAAUGUCUGAUACUCAGCCUUGAUCUAGUGAAAUAUGGGGUUGUUGUCAUGGCAAUGGUAAUGAGGAAGUUUUUCAGAUCUUGGUCGGGCUUGUUGAGAAAACUCCAGAUUGUAGUGAUGAAGGCUAGAACAAAAGAGGUUGAAGACUGGUCAAAACUAAGGGUACAGUCGCUUUGAAUCAGGCGCUAUUUAUCCAAGAAAAGGCCAUUCUACUAGUUAAACUGAUGGUACAUAUAGGGAAAAGAUUCAUUGAUGAUCAGGAACUAAAUGCACAGUUUCUAGAACAUGUCAUCAACAUCUACAGGGAUGAAGGCCUGAGUGGGACAGUGUUGACAACAAAAUUAGAACAGGCUUUCCUGGCUGGUCUCAGAUGUCAGCAACCACUCAUCCUAGGGAAAUUUGUAGAGUUUUCAACAGCAGUAUUCCCCACGUAGAAUGUUUUAGAGACUGCUCUACAUAACAUGUUCACAGAACUGGGAACUGAUGGUAGGACACUUCUAUAUCAAACAAUGAAUUGAGGAUGAGAUAGAUAUAGAACUUUGUGUUGCUGCUGAUGAGGCAACACAGAAAAAAUCUUCAAAGAAAGAGAUACAGGACCCAAAAUAGAACUUACAGACAUUAUUGUAGAGACAAGCACAGUUCCUGGAGAAUUGUAGGGAGGUCAAUGUAAGAGUUAAGCUGACAUUGGUAGAUGUUUAUAGGAUGACAGUAGACUUUAAUUAGAAUAAACUGUGGUGAGCUCAUUGAAAGAGUAACAAGUACAAAGAGCCAGUGAGAAAUAAAAGUGGAAAGCCUGAGUUAUCAUGUUGGGAUGUCUUUAGAAGGAAGUAAGUGGAUGAAAAUGUUGGUAAAGGUCCUGUGAGAAAUUGAAGAUAAACUGACAAGACCCAAGGGUGUAAGGCUGUAGAAAAUGUCAUUGAAGAAUUUGACUGUCACAAAAUGUUAUAAAUUUGCCUUAGUCUAUACAAGAGCAUCAUUUUGAAGCAAAUUAAAGCAAAUCUAUGCUAGUUAGUGGAUCUAGAGUUUUAAAAAUCGUCAUGAAAUAGAAUACUGUGAAAUCAUUAUUAUUCAUGGGGGAUUAAUAUUGAUGGAUUCCGUGGUUCAGCUCAACCACCAGAUGAAGUCCCAACGAACAAAUUACACCCACGAUAAUGUAAAUUGUACUCAAUGUCACCAAAACAGACAACAAAGCUGUCCGAUCUGGUCCGUAGUUGUGUGCAUGCAGUAGUACUGACCUACAGCAUGUUUAUGGAGGCUCCGUCAAUGAUAAACAUAUGUAUGCAUUGGAACAAAAGGAACUAUUUUAUUUAGACAUUUACCCAUGGUUUGUUUACGACAUGCUUGUCAAAGUAAAUGUAGAUACUAAAAAUGUCAACCGCACUAUGCUGUGGCUGUUACUUGUAUUUUUUGGCCUCGCUCUGCAAUGUUUAUGUUUACGGACAUGUAGUAAAUUACUACUACUUUGGGAAUAUUAUAAAGUAGCAGCUAGAAUUGCUUCCAAUGCAUUAUUACCCAUUUACAUUACACAUUUCUUGAAAUAAUGAAUGUACAAGUUCUGCAGUUUGUAAUUUUAGAAGCAGACGCGCAUUCAUUUUGCAAAAGAAACAACAACAUUCGGAUGAAAGUUUAGCAAUCGUGUGCAAAAACACAUUUCUUUAGCAACAUAAAAUCAGUAAAUCUAUAAUAUUUUUAGCUCACCUGUCACAAAGUGACAAGGUGAGCUUUUAUGAUCGCGUGGCGUCCGUCCGUCCGUAAACUUUUGCUUGUGACCACUCUAGAGGUCACAUUUUUCAUGGGAUCUUUAUGAAAGUUGGUCAGAAUGUUCAUCUUGAUGAUAUCUAGGUCAAGUUUGAAACUGGGUCAAGAGCGGUCGAAAACUAGGUCAGUAGGUCUAAAAAUAGAAAAACCUUGUAACCUCUCUAGAGGCCAUACUUUUCAAUGGAUCUUCAUGAAAAUUGAUCAGAAUGUAUACCUUGAUGAUAUCUAGGUCAAGUUCGAAACUGGGUCACAUGCCUUCAAAAACUAGGCAGGGUUUGCACAGGCUUGAAAAGUACUUGAAAAUGUAGGGCAGUCUUGAAAAGUCCUUGAAAACAAAAUUUGUCUUGAAAAAUGCUUGAAAAUUGCCCAAAGACCUUGAAAAGUACUUGAAUUUCUUAUUUUCUCGUAUGCUAGACUAUUAAAAUCUCCCUGAAAAUCAAAAGUAAAUCUUUUAGAAUAAAAUCGGCAAGUUUCGAGCAAUGGGCAGAGCUACGAAAACGCCGUAAUAAAAAAGGUCGAAUGUGUUCGGGACAAAAGCGGAGUUUGGGUACGAAUGUUUCGUACUUUCUGUUAGCGUUGUCUCCCCUGACUAAAAUGGCGUCGGCUAGAAUUUACAAAUCUGUGUAAGUAUUAUUUUAUAAAUAAGUCCUUGAAAACUUCUUGAAUUUGACUUGGCCUUGUCUGUAUGAACCCUGCUAGGUCAGUAGGUCAAAUAAUAGAAAGACCUUGUGACCUCUCUAGAGGCCAUAUUUUUCAUGGGAUCUGUAUGAAAGUUGGUUUGAAUGUUCAUCUUGAUGAUAUCUAGGUCAAGUUCGAAACUGGGUCACAUGCUUCAAAAACUAGGUCAGUAGGUCAAAUAAUAGAAAAACCUUGUGACCUCUCUAGAAGCCAUAUUUUUCAUGGGAUCUGUAUGAAAGUUGGUCUGAAUGUUCAUCUUGAUGAUGUCUAGGUCAAGUUCGAAACUGGGUCAAAAACUAGGUCAGUAGGUCU